rnacentral:rRNA from 1 species
UACGAAGGGGGCUAGCGUUGCUCGGAAUCACUGGGCGUAAAGGGUGCGUAGGCGGGUCUUUAAGUCAGGGGUGAAAUCCUGGAGCUCAACUCCAGAACUGCCUUUGAUACUGAGGAUCUUGAGUUCGGGAGAGGUGAGUGGAACUGCGAGUGUAGAGGUGAAAUUCGUAGAUAUCGGGAGGAACACCGGUGGCGAAGGCGGCGAUCUGGGUAGAUACUGACGCUGAGGUGCGAAAGCGUGGGGAGCAAACAGG